UACAGAGGGUGGCAAGCGUUGUCCGGAAUUAUUGGGCGUAAAGCGCGCGCAGGCGGCUAUGUAAGUCUGGUGUUAAAGCCCGGGGCUCAACCCCGGUUCGCAUUGGAAACUGCGUAGCUUGAGUGCAGAAGAGGAAAGCGGUAUUCCACGUGUAGCGGUGAAAUGCGUAGGGAUGUGGAGGAACACCAGUGGCGAAGGCGGCUUUCUGGUCUGUAACUGACGCUGAGGCGCGAAAGCGUGGGGAGCAAACAGG
rnacentral:rRNA from 1 species